rnacentral:rRNA from 1 species
CCCUUAGAUGUUCUGGGCCGCACGCGCGCUACACUGAUGCAUUCAACGAGCCUAUCCUUGACCGACAGGUCCGGGUAAUCUUUGAAUCUGCAUCGUGUCGGGGAUAGAUUAUUGCAAUUAUUAAUCUUCAACGAGGAAUGCCUAGUAGGCGCAAGUCAUCAGCUUGCGUCGAUUACGUCCCUGCCCUUUGUACACACCGCCCGUCGCUCCUACCGAUUGGGUGUGCUGGUGAAAUGUUCGGAUCGGCCGUUUGUCGCGGUUUCCGCGGCUCGUGGCUGAGAAGUUCAUUAAACCCUCCCACCUAGAGGAAGGAGAAGUCGUAACA